rnacentral:rRNA from 1 species
UGUUACAAACCAAAUUCUAUCAUGCCGGGCAGAUGGGACAAUGAGUCAAAGGACUUGCUGUCUACAGUGGACGGAUCAGAUGCCGCGCCACCGAAGACGGUGCAACGGGAGCAGACGGACAAAACCGUCGCCAUGGAACCCAACCCGCUGUACGCCCAGUGGAUAUCAAAGGAUCAGCAAGUUCUUAGCUAUCUUCUGAAUUCUCUGUCCAUGAAGAUUCUCGCCCAAGUUGCGAGUAAGGAGACAACCUUUGAUCUCUGGAAUGCCAUCACCACCUUGUUCUCCUCGCACUCCCAAUCCCGCAUCACAAAUUUGCGGAUUGCCAUCACCAACACGAAGAAGGGUUCCAUGACCAGCAGCGCCUAUAUCUCCAGGAUGAAGAACCUGGGGGACGAGCUCGCAGCGGCAGGACACCCCGUCUCGGAUCCAGAGAUGGCGGACCAUGUUCUUGCCGGCCUCGACAGAGACUAUGAUCCUGUUGUGGCAGCCGUCGGUGCAAUCAAAAAUCAUAUCACAGUUGACGACCUGUUCGCUCAGAUCGCGGCGUUCGACCAGCGAGUCGAGAUGCUUGGCGAUGGCCCUGAUGGGGGAUUCAAGUCCUCUGCAAACCUGGCCUACAGGGGGCGUGGGUGCGGCUACAACAGAGGCCGCGGGCGCAGCAGCAGCAGGGGCCGCGGACAAGCCAAGCGCCCUUCCCCGACUCCAUCUGGUGGCAACGGCGGCGGCGGAGGUGGCCGCGGUCGCCCACAACAGCAACGACAGCAGCAAGCACGCGAUUACCCAGAGUGUCAAAUCUGCUACAAGCAUCAUCCAGGAGGUGCUCGUGAUUGUUGGCAUAGGUAUGAUGAAGAUGAACAUGAGGAGAAGAGUGCAGACAUGGUCACCGACUCCUAUGGCGUCGACACAAACUGGUAUAUAGAUACCGGUGCUUCACAUCACAUCACCGGCGAACAAGACAAGCUUACGUUCAAG